GCUUACGGCCAUACCAGCCCAAGAACGGCCGGGUCUCGUCUGAUCUCGGAAGCUAAGAAGGCUUGGGCCUGGUUAGUACUUGGAUGGGAGACCUCCUGGGAAUACCAGGUGCUGUAAGCU
ensembl:rRNA 5S_rRNA 5S ribosomal RNA